GCAGACACAUUCCAGCCAAUCAGCAGCAGACCCUCCCUCCCAGACCCUCCCACCUCAUGGACAGCAUCCAUUUUACAUUCAUUGUGAAGCUGCAUUCUUAGUGAGCUGUCCAGGAGGUGGGAGGGUCUGGGAGGGAGGGUCUGCUGCUGAUUGGCUGGAAUGUGUCUG
rnacentral:miRNA from 1 species